CGGCGACUGAACGGCGGACGGGUGAGUAACGCGUGGGCAACCUGCCCCAUACAGGGGGACGAACGGCCGGAAACGGCCGCUAAUACCGCAUGAUUCCUCUUGGCGCAUGGCCGGGAGGGGAAAGCCGAGACGGUAUGGGAUGGACCCGCGUCUGAUUAGCUGGUUGGCGAGGUAACGGCUCACCAAGGCGACGAUCAGUAGCCGGCCUGAGAGGGCGACCGGCCACAUUGGGACUGAGACACGGCCCAAACUCCUACGGGAGGCAGCAG
rnacentral:rRNA from 1 species